UGUGUGUGUGUCUGUGUGUGUGUGUGUGUGUCUGUCUGUCUGUCUGUCUGUCUGUCUGUCUGUCUGUCUGUCUGUCUGUCUGUCUGUCUGUCAGGUUAACUGAAAACCCGCUGGGGGACCUUUUACAACAAGGCACAGUUUUAUGGAGCGUUCAAAAAGGUCAUGAGGCCACCACUGCUGGACGAAGUGAAGCACUCGAUCGCCAUGAUGAAGGCUUUGCCAGAUAUGUUCCCAUCACCUGUGGUUCCACCGAAGAAGUUAGGACAUGAAAGUGAGGCUGUGCUUCACAUGCUUGAGUCUGCAGAAGACCCCAACACCUUUCUUCAGGCGAGACCACUCUUCAGCCCUGUCGUGAUUGUCUGUGUAACCAACUGCUUACUGGCUAUUGGAACCAUGUGCUGACCUUUCCAAAAGAGGACAUAUAUGCCAGCGUGAUGUGUCUCAUGGUGUGUCAUUACGCCUUUCACCUCACAUAUCCUAAGUGCAUUGUGACCUCUCGGACACCAUCCACGUCUGGGAUAUGAUGGUGCCUC